AUCCUAAANUGGCUUGAUUAAGUUGUUGAACAUUAGAACUGAUAGCUCACAACGCGUGCAGCAAAAUUUGUUUACGUUUAAGAUUUAUGAUGUUUGAGGAGACCUUGCAAGUCGAAAAGUAUUCCAUUGUCACGUUCAAAUCAGGAUUGGAAGAUUUUUUGUAUUGCUUGUAGAUGUCACACUUGAUAAAUUUGUUGUAGGUUAUGGGAGAGUUCUGUUGUUUAAAGCUUGUUUUUCGGUUGUCAAGGAGCUCCAAAAAGCUUCCAUUUUAAGAGGACCGGAAUAUUCUUGAUGUACAUAGGGGGUACAUAAGGGUGUCCAUUACACCCCCGUAUUGGUGUACACCAAGAAUAAUCCUUAAGGAAAAUAGUUGUUUUAUAUCACCAUUCACAUACAAAUUGAUGGAUAUGUCAAGAAAAAAGUGGGGAAGUUUUUUCAUUUUAUUUGAUGAGAUUUUGAUUCAAUCAAAAAUUUCCACAUCAUUUCUUGGUAAAUAAAUUUGUAUAGGGUGAUGUAUAUGUAACACAAUUGUAAUUAUAAUAUGUUGAAUGUACAUGUUACUUGUAAACGAAUGAUGAUUGAUAAGUUCGGAA
rnacentral:lncRNA from 1 species